CACCUGCCUCCAGCCACCACCCAGUUAAUCCCAUCAGGUGACUGAUUCGCAGAUUGGAUUAAGGCUCUUGUGACCCAAUCGUUUCUUCUCUGUAGCUUCUUGCAUUGUCUCACCCGUGAGCUUUUGGGGGACACUUCACAUCCAGAUCAUAACGAUGGAGAUGUAAUGGAAGGGACCAUAAGAGUUCACCAUCUUGGUCUCAGCUUGAGUUGGGGUGCAUUUGGGGCUCUCUCUCUCUCUGAGAGUGCUGAGCUGGCCAUAAACUACAGAUACUGAUGUCUCGGUGACGGCCAUGGCAAUUGUGAAUUCUUUUGGCAAUGGUUGAGUUGUGAUUUUGAGAGCAUUCGCUCUUUUUUAUUUUGCCCGUGAAUAAUUUUUCAGCAAGGAAGAAGCAAGGAGAGAUGAGGAUGAAGGUAGAGCAAGAACGAGGUUAUUAUACAUGUUUUCACCUUGAAAAUGAGUCAGUUCUAUGUUUCAAGUCAUACUCUCCUGCUUAUCCUUGCUCAUUCUUCAAUAAUAUGCCCCCUGGCCUUAUUAAAAUUAUCUGCAGAGUCCAGAUGGGGAGGGGAAACAACACCCAUUAUUGGUGUUCAUUAUUCUGAAAAAUUAUGUUAACCUACUUUAUUCCUUUUCCCUUGCAGGAUGACAGUUUUGAUCUCUUUAAUGACUGUUUCAUGACUUACAGACUUAUAAAAUGCUUUUGUGGGUACCACACCCACUCCCCAAAGACCACCCUCUCUGCAUUUCUCUCCUCCGGCACUAAAGAUAUUAAAUUGCGUGCAAGGAUGAUACCUUCUGAAAACACCUUCUGAGAGGUCAGAGGGUUCCUGGAACGGUCGUUGUACCUCUUCAAAAAAGGUGCUGCUGUGGGGAUGCAGGGCAGAGUUGGGAGCUUUCUGGGCCUUGCAGCAGUUUCAGGAUCUAUGUGUAGGACACACCCGCGGGAGGGAGCUGCCCUGGUCUCUACACUUACCACCAUUGAUGUCAGGCGCUGAGAGAGGAGUUCACAGUAGUAGCGGGGAAGGGGUGCUUGCUGGGCACCCUGAUGAUCAAGAUGGCCCUGCUUUAAGCACACGACUCCAACUCUUCUCUGUCCACUCUUUUUUAACCCAAGGGAGCAUUUCCCCUCCUACAUGCCUACGCCUCACUCUUCUGCAUACACCAGAAGCUUCAGAGGAUGCUGGAAGAAUGUCAAUGAAUUCAGGAUUCACAAAGAACAUGGGGCUGUGUAAAUGUGAGCACAGAGUCCACUCCCCCACCUCCCAGACUGCUAAAGAGCAGGGAUGCGGGUGCGGGAGGCUGCAUUCCCGUGAUGGGCAGGCCCCUGCACGGUUGGGCUUCCUCAUCAGCAGCGGGGGAUGAUGACAGGCACCUCUCUGGGGUGUUGGGAAGGCUAAUGCUAACUCUGACCUGCUUUGUGUUUCCUAUGCAGG
rnacentral:lncRNA from 1 species